rnacentral:ribozyme from 1 species
ACUCGACUAUGCGAGGAUAAAUAGACACUAAGCAUAGUGCGUUUGUAUGACAGAAGCCGCUAGCAAUAGCAGUGAAGGUUAUAUGAGGCUGUU